rnacentral:rRNA from 1 species
CCUACGGGGGGCUGCAGUGGGGAAUUUUGCGCAAUGGGCGAAAGCCUGACGCAGCAACGCCGCGUGGGUGAUGAAGGUCUUCGGAUCGUAAAACCCUGUCGUUGGGGACGAAGGUGGGGGCGUUAAUAGCGUUUCUGCUUGACGGUACCCGGAGAGGAAGCCCCGGCUAACUCUGUGCCAGCAGCCGCGGUAAUACAGAGGGGACUUGCGUUAUUCGGAGUUAUUGGGCGUGAAUGGCGCAGAGACGGGUGUAAUCCCCGAGCUCAACGUGGGAACUGCAUCUGAGACUGGAAGGCUAGAGUACUGGAGAGGGUGGUGGAAUUCCUCGUGUAGCGGUGAAAUGCGUAGAGAUGAGGAGGAACACCAGUGGCGAAGGCGGCCACCAGGACAGUAACUGACGCUGAGGCGCGAAAGUGUGGGUAGCAAACAGGAUUAGAUACCCUUGUAGUC